AGUGAACGCCGGCGGUAGGCCUAACACAUGCAAGUCGAACGGCAGCACAGUAAGAGCUUGCUCUUACGGGUGGCGAGUGGCGGACGGGUGAGGAAUACAUCGGAAUCUACUUUUUCGUGGGGGAUAACGUAGGGAAACUUACGCUAAUACCGCAUACGACCUACGGGUGAAAGCAGGGGAUCUUCGGACCUUGCGCGAUUGAAUGAGCCGAUGUCGGAUUAGCUAGUUGGCGGGGUAAAGGCCCACCAAGGCGACGAUCCGUAGCUGGUCUGAGAGGAUGAUCAGCCACACUGGAACUGAGACACGGUCCAGACUCCUACGGGAGGCAGCAGUGGGGAAUAUUGGACAAUGGGCGCAAGCCUGAUCCAGCCAUACCGCGUGGGUGAAGAAGGCCUUCGGGUUGUAAAGCCCUUUUGUUGGGAAAGAAAAGCAGCAGGUUAAUACCCCGCUGUUCUGUCGGUACCCAAAGAAUAAGCACCGGCUAACUUCGUG
rnacentral:rRNA from 1 species